CGCACACUAUGCACAGAUGUUUGGGGAUUGCUUUUACACUCUUACAAGAGACCCCAAGCCUGCCUUGAGGGUCAUGUAUGGCUGUUCAGCCACCUCCGAAAUGCUUCGAAGAAAAUCAAGGCAAGUAGGAACAUGGCAAAGAACAAACAAAAGAGCAAAGGCUUCUACUGGAUAACAGACUGGCACAGAUCUGUUCAAAGGAAGUUUGGGAAUAU
rnacentral:lncRNA from 1 species